AGGGUUCGAUUCUGGCUCAGGAUGAACGCUAGCGACAGGCUUAACACAUGCAAGUCGAGGGGCAGCAUAGAAGUAGCAAUACUUUGGUGGCGACCGGCGCACGGGUGAGUAACGCGUAUGCAACCUACCUAUCAGAGGGGAAUAACCCGGCGAAAGUCGGACUAAUACCGCAUAAAACAGGGGCACCGCAUGGUGAUAUUUGUUAAAGAAAUUCGCUGAUAGAUGGGCAUGCGUUCCAUUAGGUAGUUGGUGAGGUAACGGCUCACCAAGCCGACGAUGGAUAGGGGAACUGAGAGGUUGGUCCCCCACACUGGUACUGAGACACGGACCAGACUCCUACGGGAGGCAGCAGUGAGGAAUAUUGGUCAAUGGGCGGGAGCCUGAACCAGCCAAGUCGCGUGAAGGAAAGAAGGAUCUAUGGUUCGUAAACUUCUUUUGCAGGGGAAUAAAGUGCAGGACGUGUCCUGUUUUGUAUGUACCCUGAGAAUAAGGAUCGGCUAACUCCGUGCCAGCAGCUGC
rnacentral:rRNA from 1 species